UAUCAAUGCUGUAUUUAAUGAGUGUGGGUAUGUGUAACACUGUGUGUAUAUUAUACACACAGUGUUACACAUACCCGCACUCAUUAAAUACAGCACUGA